UACGUAGGGGGCGAGCGUUGUCCGGAUUUAUUGGGCGUAAAGAGCUCGUAGGCGGCUGUUCGGGUCGGGUGUGAAAUCCUGAGGCUUAACCUUGGGUCUGCAUUCGAUACUGGGCGGCUUGAGUCUGGUAGGGGGAUCUGGAAUUCCUGGUGUAGCGGUGGAAUGCGCAGAUAUCAGGAGGAACACCAGUGGCGAAGGCGGGAUCCUGGACAAGUACUGACGCUGAGGAGCGAAAGCGAGGGGAGCAAGCGGG
rnacentral:rRNA from 1 species